rnacentral:rRNA from 1 species
ACACAUGCAGUCGAACGGUGAACACGGAGCUUGCUCUGUGGGAUCAGUGGCGAACGGGUGAGUAACACGUGAGCAACCUGCCCCUGACUCUGGGAUAAGCGCUGGAAACGGCGUCUAAUACUGGAUAUGUGACGUGACCGCAUGGUCUGCGUCUGGAAAGAAUUUCGGUUGGGGAUGGGCUCGCGGCCUAUCAGCUUGUUGGUGAGGUAAUGGCUCACCAAGGCGUCGACGGGUAGCCGGCCUGAGAGGGUGACCGGCCACACUGGGACUGAGACACGGCCCAGACUCCUACGGGAGGCAGCAGUGGGGAAUAUUGCACAAUGGGCGCAAGCCUGAUGCAGCAACGCCGCGUGAGGGACGACGGCCUUCGGGUUGUAAACCUCUUUUAGCAGGGAAGAAGCGAAAGUGACGGUACCUGCAGAAAAAGCGCCGGCUAACUACGUGCCAGCAGCCGCGGUAAUACGUAGGGCGCAAGCGUUAUCCGGAAUUAUUGGGCGUAAAGAGCUCGUAGGCGGUUUGUCGCGUCUGCUGUGAAAUCCGGAGGCUCAACCUCCGGCCUGCAGUGGGUACGGGCAGACUAGAGUGCGGUAGGGGAGAUUGGAAUUCCUGGUGUAGCGGUGGAAUGCGCAGAUAUCAGGAGGAACACCGAUGGCGAAGGCAGAUCUCUGGGCCGUAACUGACGCUGAGGAGCGAAAGGGUGGGGAGCAAACAGGCUUAGAUACCCUGGUAGUCCACCCCGUAAACGUUGGGAACUAGUUGUGGGGUCCAUUCCACGGAUUCCGUGACGCAGC